rnacentral:rRNA from 1 species
GACGAACGCUGGCGGCGUGCCUAAUACAUGCAAGUCGAACGCUGAAGAGAGGAGCUUGCUCUUCUUGGAUGAGUUGCGAACGGGUGAGUAACGCGUAGGUAACCUGCCUUGUAGCGGGGGAUAACUAUUGGAAACGAUAGCUAAUACCGCAUAACAAUGGGUGACACAUGUCAUUUAUUUGAAAGGGGCAAUUGCUCCACUACAAGAUGGACCUGCGUUGUAUUAGCUAGUAGGUGAGGUAAUGGCUCACCUAGGCGACGAUACAUAGCCGACCUGAGAGGGUGAUCGGCCACACUGGGACUGAGACACGGCCCAGACUCCUACGGGAGGCAGCAGUAGGGAAUCUUCGGCAAUGGGGGCAACCCUGACCGAGCAACGCCGCGUGAGUGAAGAAGGUUUUCGGAUCGUAAAGCUCUGUUGUAAGUCAAGAACGGGUGUGAGAGUGGAAAGUUCACACUGUGACGGUAGCUUACCAGAAAGAGACGGCUAACUACGUG